rnacentral:lncRNA from 1 species
UGGCGUCGUCGUCGUCCGAAGACAUUUGGUUUUCGCACUCUAACUUUAGUAAAAGUAAAUUGAAAUCUAUGAAAUUUAAACACAUGGUUUAUGACCAUAAAAGAAAGGUUGGGAUUGAUUCUUGGUGUUCUGGUCCCAACAGUUUAGGAAUUAGGGUAAAAAAGGGCCCAAAUAAGCAUUUUUCUUGGUUUUCGCACAAUAACUUUAGUAUAAGUAAAAAGAAAUCUAUGAAAUUUUAACAUAAGGUUUCUAUGACCACAACAGGAAGGUUGGGAUUGAUUUUAGUUUUAGUCCCAACAGUUUAGGAAUUAGGGGCAAAAAAAGGCCCAAAUAAGCAUUUUUCUUGGUUUUCGCACAAUAACUUUAGUAUAAGUAAAAAGAAAUCUAUAAAAUUUUAACAUAAGGUCUCUAUGACCACAACAGGAAGGUUGGGAUUGAUUUUGGGAGUUUUAG